rnacentral:rRNA from 1 species
AUACGUAGGUGACAAGCGUUAUCCGGAUUUACAGGGUGUAAAGGGCGUGUAGGCGGUUUAGCAAGUCAGAAGUGAAAUUCCCGGGCUUAACUUGGGCGCUGCUUCUGAAACUGCUUUACUUGAGUGCUGGAGAGGAUAGUGGAAUUCCUAGUGUAGCGGUAAAAUGCGCAGAUAUUAGGAGGAACACCGGUGGCGAAGGCGGCUAUCUGGACAGUAACUGACGCUGAGGCGCGAAAGCACGGGGAGCAAACAGGAUUAGAUACCCUGGUAGUCCGUGCCGUAAACGAUGAAUACUAGGUGUAGGGGGUAUCGACUCCCUCUGUGCCGCAGUUAACACAUUAAGUAUUCCACCUGGGGAGUACGGCCGCAAGGUUGAAACUCAAAUGAAUUGACGGGG